GGAAGUGUAGUGAGUUAAAAUGAACGCAAUAUUUUCAAUAAUUUUUAUUUUACCAUUGUGGAUGAGAUUAGUUUGUGUCAAGAGUAAUAUUUGUCGUGGCAACUGUUGCAAUGGCUACAAAUGGAAUAAUGACAAAACAUCAUGUAUUCCAUGCGAUUCGGGCUUUUAUGGACAAAAUUGCAGUACCAAAUGCCGUUAUCCUUCAUUUGGUGAAUUGUGUCAAUCAGAAUGCUUCUGUACAGAAUCUGAAUGUAAUCCUAGUAGAGGAUGCCUAC